rnacentral:rRNA from 1 species
GACGAACGCUGGCGGCGUGCUUAACACAUGCAAGUCGAACGGAGAGGCCCUGCUCUUGUGGGGUGCUGGGGUGGCGAACGGGUGGGUAACACGUGAGUAACCUGCCCUUGACUUUGGGAUAACUUCAGGAAACUGGGGCUAAUCCCGGACAGGAGCUCCUGCUGCAGGGGGGGGGUUGGAAAGUUUCGGCGGUUGGGGAUGGACGCGCGGCUUUUGAGGUUGUUGGUGGGGUAGUGGCUUACCAAGGCUUUGACGGGUAGCCGGCCUGAGAGGGUGACCGGCCACAUUGGGACUGAGAUACGGCCCAGACUCCUACGGGAGGCAGCAGUGGGGAAUAUUGCGCAAUGGGCGGAAGCCGGAUGCAGCAACGCCGCGUGCGGGAUGACGGCCUUCGGGUUGUAAACCGCUUUCGCCUGUGACGAAGCGUGAGUGACGGUAAUGGGUAAAGAAGCACCGGCUAACUACGUG